rnacentral:rRNA from 1 species
GACGAACCGUGCGAACGUUGUUCGGAUUUACUGGGCGUAAAGGGCGCGUAGGCGGCGCGGUAAGUCACUUGUGAAAUCUCUGAGCUUAACUCAGAACGGCCAAGUGAUACUGCAGUGCUAGAGUGUGGAAGGGCAAUCGGAAUUCUUGGUGUAGCGGUGAAAUGCGUAGAUAUCAAGAGGAACACCUGAGGUGAAGACGGGUUGCUGGGCCAACACGUGACGCUGGAUGACGCGAAAGCCAGGGAGCAACGGG